UACGAAGGGUGCAAGCGUUGUUCGGAAUUAUUGGGCGUAAAGGGUUCGUAGGUUGGAAGGUAAGUCGAGUGUGAAAUCCCUGAGCUUAACUCAGGACGUGCACCCGAAACUGCUUUUCUUGAAUGUUAGAGAGGGUCGUAGAAUUGCUGGUGUAGGAGUGAAAUCCGUAGAUAUCAGCAGGAAUACCAGAGGCGAAGGCGGCGACCUGGCUAAACAUUGACACUGAGGAACGAAAGCGUGGGGAGCAAACAGG
rnacentral:rRNA from 1 species